rnacentral:rRNA from 1 species
CACUUAGUGGCGGACGGGUGAGUAAUGCUUAGGAAUCUGCCUAGUAGUGGGGGAUAACUUGGGGAAACCCAAGCUAAUACCGCAUACGACCUACGGGUGAAAGGGGGCUUUUAGCUCUCGCUAUUAGAUGAGCCUAAGUCGGAUUAGCUGGUUGGUGGGGUAAAGGCCUACCAAGGCGACGAUCUGUAGCUGGUCUGAGAGGAUGAUCAGCCACACUGGGACUGAGACACGGCCCAG